CCCAGCAGGCACUCAACGUUUAAUAAACGUUGAAAUGAGGUUGAAAUGUGAUCAACGUAUAUUCAACGUUGAAACAACGUAACAUUUUCAACGUUGAGGAAUAAACCAACAUUCAACGUUGAAUUAACGUUGAUCAUUUCAACGUUGUAAUUGGAACGUUGAUUCAACAUUGAAUCAACGUUAACUUAUUUACUCAUAGUAGGCCUAUAUAAAAAAAUCAUUAUCAGAAG
rnacentral:lncRNA from 1 species